GUGUAUUUAUAGAGCAUUAAUGAUGUCUGAUUACCUCAUGGGUCGGGCCUUAACUUGGGCUCUGGCUUGGGCCAUGAGUGGGCUUGGGCCCUAACCCAGGCCCUUAAGACCUAUUGAAUGCAGGGGCUUCUAUUUUCACUAAGUUUUGGAGUUGUCGGCUUGGGCUCUAAUCUUAUCGGGUCUGCUGGAGUAGCCGGCUUGGACCGAUUACUUACCUUGAUGACUUACAUUGGUUAUACGAGGUGUAGGUUAUUCUUCUAGAUAUAUAGGUUGAAACCGGUACGAGUUAGGCUAACUCGGCCUAGGCUGAAUACUUGGCUGCCUUGAUAUAUGCAUUGUUUGCUUAUUUGGUCGAGUUUGGCUAGGUGUGGUACACCCUUCUUUGCGUUAACUCAACCCCAUUCUUCAAUCCAUGUAAGUUGAUUCUCCACUGCACCUUUUUCAUUCCCAACUUUGUCAUCAUGAUUCUAACUAGGGUUCACCAUGGUAACCCAUUUUGAAUUUAUUCCAUUGUUUUACAGAUCGUGAAUCUACUUCGUGGUCGGUAGUACUCACUUGCUUGGGUGUUGGGAUAUUCUGCUAGCUUUUUCCAGAGAAAAUUAGGAAGGAACAUGUAGUGCCAGAAACUGUCGUUCAAAAUCAAAAGAACAAUACUCUUAAUGAACUGCAGUUUGAGAGAAUAAAUUCCACAGUGAAGAAAGUGCAUUUCUCAGAAAAAGUGGAGGGGCUUCAUCCGAAAAGGAAAUUAUCAAAUUUGGAAUCCUCACAUAAAAGAUUUUCAUUUGUCAGAGCAAAAAGGCAGCGAGUUUCAAAGUCAUUGACCAAUUCUGUGCCAAGUAUGAAACAUUCUUUGACAAAUUAUUGCAGAAACAGAGUGAAUGAAUAUAUAUUUCAAGGUACAGAGUUCCUUCUAACCGGAUUAUCUAGUGAGAAGGAAAGGGACAUGGAAGCACUUAUAAGGAGUUCUGGUGGAGUGGUUCUUUAUGAUAUUCCCUCUCAAAAUUCCUCGGGCAAGCGACAUUCAACUUUAUACCAUUUCCCCAUUGUUCUAUUCUAUGUAUGACAAAGGUUUGUGUACAAUGAUCAAUAUAACCGUUAGUCUUAUAUCAUAAUACUAAUGCUUAAAACUUCUGCUAAU